rnacentral:tRNA from 1 species
UGCUUUGUAGCUCAAUUGGCGGAGCACCGGUCCUGCUGCGGCCGGAGGUUAGGGGUUCGAGUCCCCUCGAAGCAA